rnacentral:rRNA from 1 species
GCAGCCGCCGCGGAAUACGGAGGGGGCUAGCGUUGUUCGGAAUUACUGGGCGUAAAGCGCACGUAGGCGGCUUGGUAAGUUAGAGGUGAAAGCCUGGAGCUCAACUCCAGAAUUGCCUUUAAGACUGCCGAGCUAGCAGGUGAGAGAGGUAAGUGGAAUUCCGAUUGUAGAGGUGAAAUUCGUAGAUAUUCGGAAGAGCACCAGUGGCGAAGGCGGCUUACUGGCUCAUACUGGACGCUGAGGUGCGAAAGCGUGGGGAGCAAACAGGAUUAGAUACCCGUGUAGUCCCUGUCUCUUAUACA